UUCUGAUCCGAAUUUCAAGUC
rnacentral:piRNA from 1 species